AUUGAACGCUAGCGGGAUGCCUUACACAUGCAAGUCGAACGGCAGCACGGACUUCGGUCUGGUGGCGAGUGGCGAACGGGUGAGUAAUGUAUCGGAACGUGCCUAGUAGCGGGGGAUAACUACGCGAAAGCGUAGCUAAUACCGCAUACGCCUUACGGGGGAAAGCAGGGGGUCGUAAGACCUUGCACUAUUAGAGCGGCCGAUAUCGGAUUAGCUAGUUGGUGGGGUAACGGCUCACCAAGGCGACGAUCCGUAGCUGGUUUGAGAGGACGACCAGCCACACUGGGACUGAGACACGGCCCAGACUCCUACGGGAGGCAGCAGUGGGGAAUUUUGGACAAUGGGGGAAACCCUGAUCCAGCCAUCCCGCGUGUGCGAUGAAGGCCUUCGGGUUGUAAAGCACUUUUGGCAGGAAAGAAACGUCGUGGGUUAAUACCCCGUGAAACUGACGGUACCUGCAGAAUAAGCACCGGCUAACUACGUGCCAGCCGCCGCAGUAACAC
rnacentral:rRNA from 1 species